GCUCACUGCUAUCUCUGCAGUUCAGUUCAGACACACGCAAGCUCAGCUUGAGCCACGCUCAGUAUGACACUUUGUGAAAGCUUCAGAAUGCAAGAAUUUCUUAAACUGAUCAUCCUUCCACCCAAAAACUGCUGCCUAUGAUUAAAUAGUUGUGAUUGUAUUAAGUGAACUGAAAAUGAAAUUCCUUGAGAACUGAACAUUUCUGAACUGUGAGUACUAAAAAGUACAGUGGAAGAAAAGUUGCUCUGCCCAGAAAAAAAAACCUGGUUUCUGCCGGAAAAGUGGAACUGCAGUUCAAGCUCCAGCUUCCAGCACUUGACAACUUGGACAAUUGCUUUGGGAACAUUUCUCUUCAAAAGGCAUAUCA